rnacentral:rRNA from 1 species
GACGAACGCUGGCGGCGUGCCUAAUACAUGCAAGUCGAGCGAAUGAUGAAGAAGCUUGCUUCUUCUGAUUUAGCGGCGGACGGGUGAGUAACACGUGGGCAACCUGCCCUGUAGAUUGGGAUAACUCCGGGAAACCGGGGCUAAUACCGAAUAAUCCAUUUCCUCACAUGAGGAAAUGUUAAAAGACGGUCUCGGCUGUCACUACAGGAUGGGCCCGCGGCGCAUUAGCUAGUUGGUGGGGUAAUGGCUCACCAAGGCGACGAUGCGUAGCCGACCUGAGAGGGUGAUCGGCCACACUGGGACUGAGACACGGCCCAGACUCCUACGGGAGGCAGCAGUAGGGAAUCUUCCACAAUGGACGAAAGUCUGAUGGAGCAACGCCGCGUGAGUGAAGAAGGUUUUCGGAUCGUAAAACUCUGUUGUGAGGGAAGAACAAGUACGAGAGUAACUGCUCGUACCUUGACGGUACCUCAUUAGAAAGCCACGGCUAACUACGUGCCAGCCGCCGCCGUAACAC